rnacentral:rRNA from 1 species
UACGUAGGGGGCGAGCGUUGUCCGGAUUUAUUGGGCGUAAAGAGCUCGUAGGCGGCUUGGCAAGUCGGGUGUGAAACCUCCAGGCUCAACCUGGAGACGCCACUCGAUACUGCCAUGGCUAGAGUCCGGUAGGGGACCACGGAAUUCCUGGGGUAGCGGUGAAAUGCGCAGAUAUCAGGAGGAACACCGGUGGUGUAGACGGCUCUCUGGACCGUAACUGACGCUGAGGAGCGAAAGCGUGGGGAGCGAACAGG